CCUACGGGGGGCAGCAGUGGGGAAUAUUCGGCAAUGGGCGCAAGCCUGACCCAGCAACGCCGCGUGAAGGAAGAAGGCUUUCGGGUUGUAAACUUCUUUUCUCAGGGACGAAGCAAGUGACGGUACCUGAGGAAUAAGCCACGGCUAACUACGUGCCAGCAGCCGCGGUAAUACGUAGGUGGCAAGCGUUAUCCGGAUUUACUGGGUGUAAAGGGCGUGUAGGCGGGACUGCAAGUCAGAUGUGAAAACCACGGGCUCAACCGGUGGCCUGCAUUUGAAACUGUAGUUCUUGAGUACUGGAGAGGCAGACGGAAUGCCUAGGGUGGCGGUGAAAGGCGUAGAUAUUAGGAGGAACACCAGUGGCGAGGGCGGUCUGCUGGACAGCAACUGACGCUGAGGCGCGAAAGCGUGGGGAGCAAACAGGAUUAGAUACCCUAGUAGUC
rnacentral:rRNA from 1 species